UAAUAAUCUGGCAAUGGAGUUUGCCAGCCCGCGUUUUCGAAGUGUUUUGGGCAAACCCCUUUUCUUUUAGGAAAAGGCGAUAACUCCUACUUCAAA
rnacentral:ncRNA from 3 species